rnacentral:rRNA from 1 species
GUGUCAGCCGCCGCGGUAAGACAGAGGUGGCUAGCGUUGUUCGGAUUUAUUGGGCGUAAAGCGAACGCAGGUGGUUUGGUAAGUCAGGGGUGAAAGUCCGCAGCUCAACUGCGGCACUGCCUUUGAUACUGCCUUUCUUGAGUGCAUGAGGGGGAAGCGGAAUUCCGAGUGUAGAGGUGAAAUUCGUAGAUAUUCGGAGGAACACCGGUGGCGAAGGCGGCUUCCUGGCAUGUAACUGACACUCAUGUUCGAAAGCGUGGGUAGCAAACAGGAUUAGAAACCCCUGUAGUCC